rnacentral:lncRNA from 1 species
UUAGUCUUGCACAUGCACUCUCUGACACCGCUCAGUGUAGCAUUUAGAACUAGCUCCGUUAAUUGUAAGAAAUAUGUUACUUUGAGUAGCGUUGAGAAAGAUACUCGGAUCAGAAGGAUCUAAACAUGUGGUCACUAAUGCCAUUAAAAAGAACUUUCGUUUCUGCAAAAAUUUUCAAAAUUAUUUACAUACAAAUAUAUAUAUAUAUAUAUAUAUAUACAUGUGUGUGUGUGUGUGUGUGUUUAAACAUAGAGCCAGUGAGCGAGGGAGACUCUCAGAGAGAGAAAGAGAGCAUUUGUUGCCUAUAUCAAUCCAGAUUCCUUCGGCCCAUGAGGGAGCGAUGUGAAGGAAUAUUCUACAGGGCACGUCCAACAUCGUCUCCACUAUGUAAUCGCUCCUGAAGACCUCUAUUCAGUGUUAAAAGCACAAUGCAAUGUAAUAUGAAGAAGAGAGUUGUUUUUAUUGUAUAAUUGUGUAAUAUAUCAAUCUGUUUGAACUAUGCUUCGAGCAUAACAAUUUGAUUUUUCCAAAGUGAUUUAAUACCAUUAUUGAUAUACUUAUGUUCCGUGUAUAUACUAUGAUCUAUAUCCUUACUAUGCCUGCUGCCAUGACUAGAUAUUGAUACCAUGAACAGGUGUUGAUACCUUGACCCUAUGGGUCUGUCCAUGGUUAUAAUCUUCGUCCUUGCAUUGGAGGGCAUUGGUGGUUCUCAGGCGAGUAGGAGGGAAACCCUAGGCGCUAAUUUUCGCCUUAGAAGGACUAUCUCGUCUCUCAAGGAUUUUAUCUCACUUAAUCCAACGCUGACAAGAAGUUCACCAAUCCAAGUUCUACUCACCCAUGUCAAAGUUCGCCAUUCGAAAUCAAUCAGGAGUGUCUAAGGGGAAAUGAGAGCGAGAUUGAAGGAAGGAAAGGGGCAGGCUCAAGAGGCUCACGUGAGGAGAAUUUAUGAAUCUCAUUGGAAUAAUGAAGACCCAUAAUGCACCGUGAAUCGUGAUAAACAAUUUCAUAUUGCACUGCGAAUCUUAGUAUCUGUGAUUCUCUAAUAUGUAUGGAUAAUACAGAGAAGUUUCUGCCUCCUGGUGAUGAUGAUAAAGGAACCACCAUAUUUGUAUAACAAAGGAAGAAAGAGGCAGCAAUUUAAGAAUCAGCUUGAAUUGCGAUCCUAAACAUAUGCUGAGUUGACCUUCAAAACUCGCUGAUCUGAUCAGUUGUUGCACGUCACAGUAGAUAGUUCUUUCAAACUUUAGAAAGAAGGAGCUAAAUUGUUAAGGAGUUUCAUUGGCAAGAGCUGCAGAACUUCCUAGAGUGGCACUAGAAGACCAGAUGUUCUCCAUUUUCGUGGUUGCCAAGCUCUAAGCCAACCUCUCAAACUCUUGUAGUAACAAUUCAAUCUCAACUACAGCACACUAAAUCGCAUAUCUGCGAUCUGUUGUCUCUGUUAGACUCAACCCACAUUUGAAACUAAUGUUCAAUUCAAUUCUCAGAUAUCACUGGAGAAAAGCAAUCGCGUCCAGCGUGGUGGUGAUGGAUGUAAGGAAGGAUUUGGGAUUUGACGGGAGUGAUUGCAGCUUUCCAAUGUUACGAUAUGGACGUGAUCUUGCUCUAACAGAGUGUUGAGCAGUUUUGUUACCAUGUCGUG